UCCUACGGGAGGCAGCAGCAAGGAAUAUUGUGCAAUGGGCGAAAGCCUGACACAGCGACACCGCGUGGGGGAUGAAGGCCUUCGGGUUGUAAACCCCUUUUCUCAGGGAAGAAAAAAAUGACGGUACCUGAGGAAUAAGCCUUGGCUAACUACGUGCCAGCAGCCGCGGUAAUACGUAGAAGGCGAGCGUUAUCCGGAUUUACUGGGCGUAAAGAGGGUGUAGGCGGCUUCUCAAGUCGGAUGUGAAAUCUCCCGGCUUAACUGGGAGGGGCCAUUCGAUACUGUUGGGCUAGAGGGCAGCAGAGGGAGGUGGAAUUCCCGGUGUAGUGGUGACAUGCGUAGAUAUCGGGAAGAACACCAGUGGCGAAGGCGGCCUCCUGGGCUGUUGCUGACGCUGAGACCCGAAAGCGUGGGGAGCGAACAGGAUUAGAUACCCCAGUA
rnacentral:rRNA from 1 species